rnacentral:tRNA from 1 species
UAGCCAAGUGGAUCAAGGCAGUGGA